AGCCUGCGCCGGAGCCGGGGCCUGAGCCCGGGCCGCGCGGGCCGCGAACUCGUCGAGCUGCGCGUGCGGCCGGUGCUCAACCUGCCGGGUCCUGGCCCCGCGCCUCCCCGCGCGCCUGGA
ensembl:miRNA